rnacentral:lncRNA from 1 species
CUGCCUUUGCUGUAUUGUGGAAGUUAGGUUGGUAAGUCUGUCCAAGAACGCCCUCAACUUGAGCUGACAGAUUAAAGAACCUGAAUUGUACUUCCAAGUGGGCGAAACUGUCGUUGGAAGGUAUCUGGUAAUUGUGGAUUCUGUUAUCUUCCUCCGUCACUGGAAUCACAUUAACUGAUAUCUCUACAGCUUCUGAGAGGGUGACUGUGGCGCUGUUCUUGCUUGCAAUCCUCUCCACUUUGAGAUUGUUCUCUGGAGAGGUCCAUUCCGAGUAAAGGCCUUCUGGAAUGGAUAAAGCUUCUCCAUCGUAAGAGAACUGCAAGUGAUCCUCCUCGUUGUCCCAUUUUUCUGUUCUUGUGGCUUCAAGGGUAAAGGUGUGAGAGCCAAACAUGAGACCCAAGGCCUGGAUCCAUGUAUAGUCCCGGGUUCUUCCAGCAGGGCGGAGACCAAUGAAUCGGGAAUUGAUUUGGAGAUUGAUAUCAGAGACCAGGCUGAAAUGCUCAUUGCCCUUGCCAUGGAAGUAGAACACAAUGCCAUCUCCACCUAUGAAGCGAGGGUCAAAGCAGGCAGCUCCCACGCCAUUGCAAUUUGGUUUACGUCCUGUUUCAUCAAUAAUAAUACAGAUUACUUCCGUUUUCUUGAUAAUUCAAGGCAGUCAUUGUAAACAGUUACUAAAAUUUGCAAGCAUAAUUCAUACCUCUGCAAACAGCCUCACAUUUGGGGGAGUAACAAUCAAGAAAGCAUCCCUUAGAUUUCCCAUCUUUAGGUUGGACCUGGGGACACUGAGCUGGGCAUGUUACAUAUUUCAAAAAGCAUUUGCUACCAUGGUUGUAGCAUGUCACACGCUGUGGUUUGACAGGCCGUGUUGGAUUGGCUCCCGGAGGUGUUUUGCCAGUACCUGCCCGUGUUUCCGUCACCCCCAAUGAGACACAUAAUAGCAGAAGGAUCACCAUGGAUUGAAUGCUUGAUGCCUUCAUUUUUUUUUCCCUCUAAUGGCAAAAAAGAAGACUCAAAGCAGUUAAUAAGAGAAAUGAAACUGAUACUAAGUCGAUCCAUACUCUUGCUGUUUAUAUAGGUUUAGAAAGUGGAUUAAUGCUAAAUUUUGAGGAUUGGUUUUCCUUGAAUCUACAGGAAAAAUGAGUGGGAAAUUAACAAACAAAUUAUAAUUAAGAUGGAUUGAGUUUGGUUUUUGAAGACUUUAUCUUGCCAUGUGGUGGUGGUAAGUGGCCAAACAAUUGCCUGAAAUUGAAUGAAGCAAAAUUUGAGCACACCCUUUUGAAGUCAAUGAUGUCUAGUCGGAGAGAUGAGAGACCCACAGUUGGGUAUGGACUAAUAUGAAUUAAUAUUCUAACAUGUCUGCGGUGGGACAUAUACUUCUUUAAGCUUUUCAACCUUUGAUAGAAUUACAGUGUAUAUCCUAAUCCUCAGGUCCAAUACAAUAAUAAGAAACCCACAUUUCCAGUGGACGUCGUCUUUGCUUUUUGACGUGGAACAACGUGAUCUCCCAAUGAAAUAUUGACUUUGAAGUAUGUAUUCAGUGAACGCCUCUGGUUUGGUUUGACAACUUGCUAUGGUGCGAGUACGACUACCAAAUUAUUGUCAAAUGAUCAAAUUAACCUCUUGCUACCAUUAAAAAGACAUACACUGUGAACCCCAUGAGUUUUAAUUAGUAAUAUUAAUUUUGUGGGAGACCUCUCAGGCUCUCACUUGUGUGUUAAUACAUUAGGAGGUCCUUUCUUUUCUUGUUUUUCUUUUUCACAUGUAUGUUGGCUUUUGAAAAUUUUUAGAAGUUUUAAAGCUAAUUUUGGAUAAAUUAAAAGUUCAAUGUUAGGCUUUUAUGAUAUUAUACCCUUUUUUUUUUUGGGUCUACAUGCAUGCACUCGGGUGCCUAUGUGUGCCUUACCAAGUCAAACUUUCUUUAGCAUCAAGACCCUUCAUCAUGUGUUGUGGGUAUCAUGUCCUUGUCAACCCAAGGUUCAUGCAUACGAGCAUAUCCCAUCGUUAACAUGCACCCCAUGCACCAAGUUACCAAUAUCCCUUAUUUACUUAGCCACACAACUCAUAUCCUAUAUUUGUCAUGCCUCUUAUCUCUAUGUAUGCGUCUUGGUUGAGCUACUUAUCACGGACUUAGAUUUUUUUUUUUUUUUUUUUUUUUUUUAAGCUCAUGCAAUACUUAGACAAGUCAAGACCCUUAAUCUUGCUAAGUAAGUCUUACUCCCGAUGCUUAAUUUGUUAGGGUAAGACGCACCUAUUUAGAAGCUUUAAAGGGCAUAGUAUACAACACUUAAAAGAAUAGAAGUUUUAUUGCUUUCAAAGGAAGUUAUACAAUGCUUAAAAGCUCACUUGUUUGGUUAGGAAAUUAUUUUUGGUGGUUUUGGACGAUGUCUUGACCAAAUGAAGCUCUCACCUAUUUAUAGGCACUAAUAGAACUCUUUGAAACCCACAAAGGUUCCCUACUAUCUUAGAAUUAUUUAGAAGACUCUAUACAAAAGUUAUGUACAAGUAUUUACAAGACAUGUUUGGAAGUUUUUAGAAUUUCUCAUAGGCUUCCCUUGUCUUCCACCCUUGAUGUAGAAAAGUGUGGGUGCCUCUAGACUUUUCUAGAACAUUCCACACUCUUCCCACCAAUAACUAAGUGUAGAUGGUUCUAAGAGUUCCAAAAGUUCCAGAAGUUUCCUCCCCUCUAUAUAAGCCCAUGGGGAGGGUCAUUUGAAGCAUCUUGUGAUAUAUUGCACACUUAAGUGUAUGCAAGCCCUAAUAGUAUGCCCAUACUAGGCCAUAGUCAUUCCCUUAGGUUACACCAAGUGAGAUUAUCACCCUCUUUAAAGAGAAUUCUAAAUCAUUUUCAAUUUGUUAGUAGGAGACAUCAAAGAUGCUUCAACAGACAAUGAAUUUUCUUUAAUUAUAAAAAACUUGAAAAAUACUCCAUUUGGAUAAUUCCUUUAGGCUAUGUUUAGUUCUCAGAAAAUUUGAGGGAAAAUGCAAGGGAAAGAAAAUACAAAGGAAAAAUAGAAGGAAAGAAAAAGUGAAAGAAAAUAAAAAAUGGAUUAAAAAUUGAUAAGUUAUUUUUAUUUUUUACUUCAAAUUCAUUUUAUUUAUUUUAACUCAUCAAUAUAAAGAUUAAAUAAUUUUAAAAUACAUAAAUUUUUAAUUAGUUUUAAUUAUAUUUUAUUUUCUUUUAUAUUUUUUAUAGGACAACCAAACAUGAAAAAAUCAUUUUUCUUUACAUUUUUUUUCUUUCCUUAAUAUUUUCCGGGAACCAAACAUAACUUUUAGGUCUCCAACAACUCACGGAACUUAUCAAAGCGACAACAUGCACCCAACACUCACUGUGUUGAACCCAAAUGAAUGUGCCAUCAGGAGUUGUCAUCACCAUCUACACUAUGCUCACGAGUCAUGCAACGUGUGUUGGCAUUGUUGUAUGCCCUUAAAUGCAACACACUACCUGCUACCCACCAUGCACACCCUUUCUUUGAUCAAGCCACUUAGUCUGCUUUGCUUUGAUCCUUCAAGAUUGCCUUAAACCUAGUUCCCAUUAAUACAUGUCAUUGGAAACCGCAACUUCCACCAUCAAUGUGUUCUCCAAGCACAACACCUUGUUUGAGUACUUUAGAUAUACCAUCACUAAUUGCAAGCCUUCAGUCAUGUGGAUUCAGGGUGUCGUCACACAUGUCUAUCAGGAUGACCAUAAAUAAGCUAUACUUUCUCUAAUGCUUUAUCAGAAUUUUUGAGACCUGGAAGUUUAUCAUGUCUUAUACUUAAGUUCAGGAUGACGAUAAAUAAGAGGCUAAGAAAAAGAUAACAAAGUUAAUAUAAGAAAAUUACAGAAAAUGUCAUUUUAGGUAUGCUGCAAUGGUUUUGCACUUACCAUGGAAGGUAGUCAUCCUUCAAAAGUUUCAAUAAUAUUGUCUGGCAUUUCACAGGAUUGGCACAAACUGAUACAGAUCAGAUAGGUUUUGCCCAAUGUCUUUGAUUGAAUUUUCCAACCAGAGACUAGAAGAUAAAACCAUCUUGUAGUGGAAAAGCAACAUUUUAACUACAUGCCUGGACCAAACUUGGAAUAGUCCAAGCUUAUUCUCCAAGGAAAAUUCGUUACGGUCAUUUCUAAACACUUAUCCGUCACGGCAGUUUUAUUGUGAUAAUUAGCUUCUACAGAAAUCCCUAAAAACUAUUUCUAACAAACAUCACAUGAGACUGAGAGCAGCAGAGCAGUCAUUCAUUUCCUGCACACAAUUCCAUUGCCGCUGCCAACCCCACUGGUGCAAUCAAGUGCGGCAUAUUGCAUAGAUAGUAAGCCCUCUAGCGCCACGUUUGCAGCUGGCAGAGAACAGGCAAGACCUACGGUCUGCGGACAGAAGAGAACCGGUCCUGUACUUGUCCGCCCCACCAACCUUUGUAACACCUGGUUUUGCUGGAUUGUGGAAGUUAGAUAGGUUGGUAAGUCUGCCCAAGAACGCCCUCAACUUGAGCUGACAAACUGAAGAACCUGAACUGUACUUCCAACUGGGUGAAACUGUCAUUGGAAGGUAUCUGGUAGUUGUGGAUUCUGUUAUCUUCUUCCGUCACUGGAAUCACAUUAACUGAUAACUCCACAGCUUCUGAGAGUGUGACAGUGGCUCUGUUCUUGCUUGAAAUUCUCUCCACUUUGAGAUUAUUUCCUGGAGAGGUCCAUUCCGAGUAAAGGCCUUCUGGAAUGGAUAAAGCUUCUCCAUCAUAAGAGAACUGCAAGUGAUCCUCCUCGCUGUCCCAUUUUUCUGUUCUUGUGACUUCAAGUGUAAAGGUGUGAGAACCAAACAUUAGACCCAAGGCCUGGAUCCAUGCGUAAUCCCGGGUUCUUCCAGCAGGGCGGAGACCAAUGAAUCGGGAAUUGAUUUGGAGAUUGAUAUCUGAGACCAGGCUGAAAUGCUCAUCGCUCUUGCCAUGGAAGUAGAACACAAUGCCGUCACCACCUAUGAAACGAGGAUCAAAGCAAGCAGACCCCACACCAUUGCAAUUUGUUUUACGCCCUGUUUCAUCAAUAACAAUAUAUAUUACUUCUAUUUUCCUGAUUAUUCAAGACUUUGUCGUGGUUCAUGAUCUGGAAAAUAAUGUCACAGGAUGCUUCAAAUGACCCUCCCCAAUGGCUUAUAUAGGAGGAGAGAAGCUUCUGGAGACUCCUAGAGCCAUCUACACUAAGCCAUUGGUGGGAAGAGUGUGGAAGGUUCUAGAAAUGCCUAGAGAUGUCCACACAUCUCUACACUAUGGUAGAAGGCAUGAGAAGGGUCCAAAGCUUUCUAGAGAAAUCUAGAAGUCUCUUGAAUAUUCUAGAAUAGUGUAGGACAUUCUAGAAUAUUCAUGAAUUGUAAGGAACCCUCCAAGGUUCUAGAGAGUUCCAUUGGUGCCUAUAAAUAGGUGAGGGCCUCAUUUGGCCAAGGCACCAAGCAAGUGAGCAUCCAAGCACUUGUAAAGGUUUCCUUGAGUUAGUGAAAGCUUCCAUUCUUUCAAGAGUUGCCUACCAAGCUUCUUAAGCUUUUGAGUCACGAGUGUCUUAGCCGAGCAAGCUAAGCAUUGGGGAGCAAGGCUGACUUAGCAAGAUCAAGCGUCUUGGCUUGUCUAAGUGCCGCACGAGCUUAGUGAACGACUAAGUCCGUGACAAGUGGUAUCAGAGCGCGGUUACGAGGUGGGCAUAGCAAAGGAAGCAUGUCGGGCUCUAACGUGGAAGAGACUAGUGAGCAAACCCGCGGAAGGGAGACCGAGCCUACUGCACGGGGCAGGGGUAGGAAGGAUAAGUCUCGUGAUGCCGUUGCCAACAUGGAGGCAAGGUUAGCCAAGGUGGAGCUAGCCAUGGCGGACACUCGGGAGGGGUUGGACUUGAUCGAGCAAGGCAUGGAGAAGAGCUUAGAAGAUCUAAGGGAACAGAUCCAAGACCUUCGCGAGGGGGUGCUAGUCUCACAGGUUCAACCAGUGUCGCACGAGGAGUUUGUGUCCUUCCAAGGAAAGGUCUUGAGCAUGCUUGCUAGCAUGGAGUCAAGGAUAGAGGCCUUGGCUACUCGAAUGGAGUCCCGAGACUAGGAAGUUAGGCAGGAGUUGGCCAUCUACAAGGCUGUUGUGUCGGCACGGGUCAUGGCCACACAGGAGGCAUCUAGGGUGGAGGUGCCGAAGCCACAUAGGUUUAGUGGCAAUCGGGAUGCCAAGGAGUUGGAUAACUUCUUAUGGCAUAUGGAGCGAUACUUUGAGGCUAUCGCAUUGACGGAUGAGGCGGCUAAGGUGAGAACUGCGACCCUCUACCUUACUGACACAGCUACUCUAUGGUGGCGUCGAAGGUUUGCCGAUAUGGAGAAAGGCAUUUGCACCAUAGAGACGUGGGAGGACUUCAAGAGGGAGAUCAAGAGGCAGUUCUACCCCGAGGACAUGGCUUACCUGGCUAGGAAAAACAUGAGGCGUCUCAAGCACACAGGUCCGAUACGUGACUAUGUCAAGGAAUUCUCUUCGCUCAUGCUUGAGAUUCCUAACAUGACUCAGGAGGAGUUGCUAUUCAACUUCAUGGAUAACCUGCAAGGGUGGGCCGAGCAGGAAUUAAGGCGCCGAGGCGUUCAAGACUUAGCCACUGUUAUGGCAAUAGCAGAAUCUUUAACAGAUUAUAAAAGGGGAGACUCCUUCAAGGAUGAGUCUUUGGAGGAUAGCCACGCCAUGGGUGGGGGAGACGAGGUUCCAAGGGACCACAAUGCUCCUAAAAAGGGAUCAGGCAAGACGUAUACCGUCCGAGAAGGAAGGGAUAAGGCGGAAAGGAAGGAGUUUACGCCUAAAAUCAAAUGCUUCCUAUGUGACGGUCCACAUUGGGCACGGGAUUGUCCAAAGAGGAAGGCGCUCAGUGCCAUGAUCGAGGAGAUGGAGCAGGAGGACGAAGCACAUAUGGGCUCAAUGCAGCUACUAGGUGCCUUCCAAUUCAACCCGAAAGCUAGUACGCCUGAGACCUCCUUACUAGCAGGGGUGCAAGUAAAGGAGGAAAAAGGGAAGCGAGCUGAGGUAGCCCGCACACACAUGGAAGAGGUCACCAAGGGAAAGGUGAACUCAAUGGGUAAGAGGAAGCAGCACUCUAAGCAUCGAAAGCGCACGGGUCUGCAUCCAUCUGGAGCCUCACGGGAGAAGGAGGUGAAGAAUAUCCUGGCUGAACGGGUCACCAGGAGACAAGGGGUCCCUCCUGUGAUAGAGUAUCUAGUCCGAUGGAAAGGACUACCUAAGAGGCAGGUAAGUUGGGAACAUGCGGAUGCCUUAAGAAAAUUCUGGAAACACAUCGAGAGGUUUCAGAAUGAGGCAACGACGAGGACGUCGACGGCAUCGGUGGGGGAGAGUGUCACAGGAUGCUUCAAAUGACCCUCCCCAAGGGCUUAUAUAGGAGGAGAGAAGCUUCUGGAGACUCCUAGAGACAUCUACACUAAGCCAUUGGUGGGAAGAGUGUGGAAGGUUCUAAAAAUGCCUAGAGAUGUCCACACAUCUCUACACUAUGGUAGAAGGCAUGAGAAGGGUCCAAAGCUUUCUAGAGAAAUCUAGAAGUCUCUUGAAUAUUCUAGAAUAGUGUAGGACAUUCUAGAAUAUUCAUGAAUUGUAAGGAACCCUCCAAGGUUCUAGAGAGUUCCAUUGGUGCCUAUAAAUAGGUGAGGGCCUCAUUUGGCCAAGGCACCAAGCAAGUGAGCAUCCAAGCACUUGUAAAGGUUUCCUUGAGUUAGUGAAAGCUUCCAUUCUUUCAAGAGUUGCCUACCAAGCUUCUUAAGCUUUUGAGUCGCGAGUGUCUUAGCCGAGCAAGCUAAGCAUUGGGGAGCAAGGCUGACUUAGCAAGAUCAAGCGUCUUGGCUUGUCUAAGUGCCGCACGAGCUUAGUGAACGACUAAGUUCGUGACAAUAAGCUGUAGAUCUACUAAAAUAACAGUGACAUUUAUGAACUAAUUAAACGUCAGUUAUGAAUUCAUACCUCUGCAAACAGCCUCACAUGUGAGGGAGUAACAAUCAAGAAAGCAUCCUUUGGAUUUCCCAUCUGCAGGUUGGACCUUAGGACACUCCACCGGGCAUGUCGCAUACUUCAAAAAGCAUUUGCUACAGCGGUUGGAGCAUGUCACACGCUCUGGUUUGACAGGUCAUGUUGGCUUGGCAUGCGGUGGUGGUUUGACAGGUGCCAUGUUGGCACGGCAUGCAAUGGUAGUUUGACAGGUGCUGUUGGUUUGUGGAUUUUUGGUAAAUGUAUGGACUUUUUAAAAAUUAUUUUCUAAAAUAAUGUAGAUUGGAAAAUAAUUCCAAGCACUUUUGCCGGGAGAAGUGAAAAGAAAAUAUAUUAUAUUUUAACUUUUAUAUCGGAACCUACUUCCAUUUUUUUUUAAUUUGAUUUUAUAUUAAAUGUGUUUUUUCAAGAGAUAUUUUCAUAAUUUUUAAAUAUACAAUAUACACUUAAAAGAAUUAAAUUUAAAUUAAAGGGAUCUUUUUAAGAGACAAUUUCUAUAAUUUAAAAAAUUGAAUUUAUAAUAAAAGGUGUCUCUUGAAAAGAUAAUUUGCAUAAUUCCAUAAAAUUUAAUAUAUAUUUAAGGUGUCUCUUGAAAGGAUAUCUUUCACAAUUUUAUAAAUUUUAAUUUAUACUAUAAGUGUCUUCCGAAUUUGAUUUUAUAUAAAAAGUGUCUCUUUGAAGGUACACCUUUCAUAAUUUCAAAAAAAUCUAAUAUAUACUAAAGGUGUCUCUACACCUUCCACAAUUUCAUAAAUUUUAAUUUAUAUUAUAAUUGUUUCUUAAUUUUGAUUUUAUAUUGAAGGUAAACACUUUUUACAAUUCCAAAAAAAAUUGAAUUUAUACUAAAAGGUGUCUCUUAAAGAGACACCUUCUACAAUUCCACAAAAUCUAAUAUAUAUUAAAGGUAUUUCUUCAAAAGACAUCUUCUAUAUAAAAUCAAAUUUAAGAAACACUUGUAGUAUAAAUUAAAAUUUAUGAAAUUAUAGAAGGUGUCUCUUGAAGGGACACUUUUAGUAUAUAUUGGAUUUUACGAAAUUAUGAAAAAUGUCUUUUCAAAAGAUAUUUUUAAUAUAAAUCCAAUAUUUUGGAAUUAUAGAAAAUGCCUACUAAAUAGACAUUUUUAGUUUAAAUUCAAUUCUUCUAAGCGAAUAUCAUAUAUUUAAAAAUGAUGAAAGAUGUUUCUUCAAAAACAUUUUUCAUGUGGUGAAAAUUACGUAAAUCUAUCAAUAAUUUUUCAAUUGCCAUUUUUAAAGAAUUAUUUUAUAAAGUUGUCGUAUAAGUUUAAAAACCCCCCCUUGGUUUGUCACUAGCCGCAAGUGUUUCCAUCACCACAAUGACACACAUAAAAGCAGAAUGAUGACCAUAGAUUGAAAGCAUGAUGCCCUCAUUCCCCCCCUAAUUGGCGAAAAAGAAAACUCAGAACAGUUAAGAAAGAAAUGCAAUUGAUAUGAAUUUGAUCCAUACUCUUGAUGCUUAUACAGGAUUUAGAAAAUGGAUUAAUGCUAAAUGUGGAGAACCGACUUUCUUUGAAUCCGCCGGAAAAGGAGUGGGAAACUGGCAAACAUAUUAACCAAGAUGGGCUGCGUUUGGUUUUUAAAACACUCUCUUGACCCGGUGGUAAGUAGCCAAACAUUUGCCUGAAAUUAAAGCAAAACUUGAGGGCUUCCUGUGAAGUCUUUGUUGCCUGGUCGUAGGCCCGCAGUCGGCGGUGACUAUUAAUGAACUAUGCCUCUCGCUUUUCAACCUUUGUUAGAAUAAUUUGUAUAUAUAUCCUAAUUUAUGUGUAAUUAUCAUAUUUAGACACAUUCCCACUACAUAUUGUCUUUGCUUUUGACAUUGAAUAAUGUGGUCUCACAAUCAAACAUCGACUCGGAAGUAAGCGUUCAGCCGUUCAGUGAAGGGGUAGGGCAUGGUUUGACAAAAUUUCUAAAUGCCCAUUAAUCUUUGGUCAAUUGGUCAAAUCAAUUAACCUCGUACUGCACCCACUACUAAAAGACAUAUAGGUUUGCAUUCAGUCAAAUAAGAAAAUGUAAAUUAGUAAAGUAUAUUUCUCUUUAAUUAAUCUUAACCAAGAAGUUAAAAGCCUCCAAAACUUAAUAAAAAGAAAAUUAAUUAUCCUAUAAUCAAGGCCCAUGGCUACUUACAUGUCAAAAGCAAAUUAUUUUGGUUAAAGAUUUAAAGAUUGUGUUGCCUAUAAUAUAUAUAUUUUUUUCAUAUUUAGAUCGGUCAUAAUUGAUAAACAAACUAAAUUUUCCAAAUAAUGAAAAUUUUUAUUUAAUUAUUUCUUAUCUCUAUAAUCAAUAAUAAAGUAUACACUAACUACACUACUAUCAUCGAUGUGCUUCCGUUCAUAUCAUAUCAUUUCAAUAGAAAUAAGUUAACAUGGAAGAAAUCCAAACAGCUUUGGCUUUAACAACAUCAAGGGGAUGAUAUUAGGAUUAAGGGGAGAAAAUGAAUAAGGUGUCUCUUUUAACAAAUCUUUAUAACCCAUGAUACUCAACGGAUGAUAUGUUAGGCCAUCUUAUAUUAAUUCACACCAUUAAAUUUUUUUUAGAUGAUAUUUCAUAUUUUGUUUAUGGGUUCCUAUAGACAUGGAGGAGAUAACAAAGGUAAAUAAGUCGUCCCAUGUGUUUGAUCGAAUCUUGGAAUGAGAUGCUGCAAGAGGAUUUUACUAUCUUUCACCUAGAAAUACAAUUGAUUCUGGUAGGAAAAUCAACUACCCACAUGCCUGGACUAAACUUCGAAUAAUCCAAGCUUAUUGUCUCUAAAGAGAGACCAUCACAAACCUUACUAAACCCUUAUUUGACACAGCAGUUUUACUGUGAAAAAUUUACCUUCAAAAGGACUCCAUAAAUACUAUAGUACGUACUUCAAACAAACAUCACAUAAGAGAAGAACCGAAGGCAUGCAGGUGUUCAUUUCCUGCACACUAUUCCAUUGCCGCUGCCAACCCCACCAGUGCAGUCAAGUGUGGCAUAUUCCAUUGAUAGUAAGCCCUCUCCUGUCACGUUGUUGCUGGGAGAGAACAGGCAUGACUUACAGUCUGCCGAGAGAAUAGAACUAGUCCUGUACUUGUCCGCCCCACCAACAAUAGGCAUUGCAACACCCGCUUUUGCUGUAUUGUGGAAGUUAGGUUGGUAAGUCUGCCCAAGAACUCCCUCUACUUGAGCUGACAGAUUAAAGAACCUGAAUUGUGCUUCCAAGUGGGCGAAACUGUCGUUGGAAGGUAUCUGGUAAUUGUGGAUUCUGUUAUCUUCCUCCGUCACUGGAAUCACAUUAACUAAUAUCUCUACAGCUUCUGAGAGGGUGACUGUGGCGCUGUUCUUGCUUGCAAUUCUCU